rnacentral:lncRNA from 1 species
CGCAGGACGGGGCCUGGGAGGUGGGCCCAUGGGCUCCAGAGGGGCUGGACCACAGCAAGAAGAACGAGGCCAACCUCCAUGGGUAGCGCAGACCGGCUCAGGCCCUGCCCUUCCCGCCGGGGUCCCCUGUGACAGGACGCAAGGGCACAGCUGCGGAGCAGGGUGGGCUGUUAGAGCUGGGCAGAGGCCACAGUGGCCAGAGGGCUGGUGAGAGUGGCUCUCCUGCUGCCCUAGCCACUGGCUGAAGAUCUGCCUGGGGAGGAGUGGGUUUGGGCGGCCGGGCCUAGGACCCCUUCAUAGCUACCACUAAUACUCAUUCUCUGCUCCUGAGAAACCUCCUCCAGGGGCCUCUGGGGUCUUGGAGAUGAGACAGAGGGACCUCAGGCAGGACAGACAAGAGACCCUGGUCUCGGGUGUCCACAGAGCGGGAGCCAGGCAGGCUGGGCGGAAGUCCUAGGCUUGGACCCUGUUACGGGACUUUCCCUGUCAGAAUGGGCUCAGGAGGGAGUGAGUGCGUGGUCCUCAGGUGUGCAAGUGCCAAGGCUGGAGCCCACCCCCUGGGAAGCAGGGCCAGGGUGGCUGGGGCGGACUUGAUCCCUGUGGGCCGACAGGGGGUGAGGAGGCAGUCUGGGGACCUGAGAGAAGGCCGAGUGGCUGUGGGGUGGGUGACCUGGGGCCCUGACUCUGCCUUACCCUUGGCCAUGGGGCCACAUUCAUGCUCGGCCCCCGCCCAGCCUGGGCUGGGAAGGCAUCAGCCUGGCCAUGAGGCAAGGGGCCGGCCAUGCCUGGGGCCAGAGGGGGUCCCCCAGCCGUGCCCAGUCCUGAGCUGGCAGUGUCUCCAGCCUUUGCAGCGUGGCCCUGUCUGCCUCUGUGUGUGUCUGGGCUCCUCUCAUUUGGCCGCCCUGCCCGUCUACACUGGUGCCCCCCCACCUGCACUGUCCACCGGGCCAGGCUCUGUCUCUGCCACCUGUUGGGUGCUUGCCAGACUCCGCCAUCCUCUCCGCUCCCAGCUUGCGGCUUCUGCCUCCAGCUCCCUACCAGGAAGAAAAAGGGCCAGGCCAUGCCGGACCAGGACUGGGCACAGCCUCCAGCACUCCAGGUGGACAGGCUGAGAAGCGCGGCGAGCGAGGCAGCCUGGGAGCAGGCAGCCGCAUGAGGACCAGCGCCUGCUCACCGCUGUGUCCCUCCUACGUGCGGGGCAGGCACCCAGCAGCAGGUGUUCGGUGCCCACUGGGAGCGUGCCUGGGCCCCUGCUCCUGCUCCUCAGAGGGAACAAACAACUGACCUGCUGAUGGAGGCUGUGAACCCACACGGGUUGUCUGCAGACGUAACGGGGCAUCUCCUAUGACGCUUCUGGAGAGGGCAAGGCUCCACGGCUGAGGGCUUUCUUUGGGUGACAACCAUGUGAAAUGCCAUGACCUUGUGCCACCCCGUGGCAGAUGACUCUCUCAGAAGGUGGUGCGUACCCUUUCCCCAUUAUGGUGUGGACACGAACUCCAGAACUGUGAGAGGCGAUGGUUCCACGACUUCCUGGCUGUAGUCACUGCUGUUGGGCAGCUGUGGGUGACCCUGAAGGGACACUCUGAUAAGGGACAUCUGCCUGCAUGUGUGACCUGAGUCCC